rnacentral:rRNA from 1 species
UACGUAGGUGACCAGCGUUGUCCGGAUUUACUGGGCGUAAAGAGCGCGCAGGCGGUCGUUCAAGUCGAGUGUGAAAGCCCCCGGCUCAACUGGGGAGGGUCACUCGAUACUGAUCGACUUGAAGGCAGGAGAGGGAAGCGGAAUUCCCGGUGUAGUGGUGAAAUGCGUAGAUAUCGGGAGGAACACCAGUGGCGAAGGCGGCUUCCUGGCCUGUUCUUGACGCUGAGGCGCGAAAAGCUAGGGGGAGCAACGGG